CCGGUUUGAUAAGUCCCUGGUUAAAUCUGACAGCUUACCUGUCAGGUCGCUAGGGAAACUAUCUUACUGGAGGGUGGGAAAGGUCUGAGGUACUCCAGGGGUAGCGGUGAAAUGCGAUAAUCCUUGGGGGACCACCAGUGGCGAAGGCGUCAGACUGGAACACGCCUGACGGUGAGGGACGAAAGCCAGGGGAGCGAACGGGAUUAGAUACCCCGGUAGUCCUGGCUGUAAACGAUGCGUGCUAGGUGUUGGUAGGGCUCUGAGCCGUACCAGUGCCGUAGGGAAACUGUUAAGCGCGCCGCCUGGGAAGUACGCUCGCAAGGGUGAAACUUAAAGGAAUUGGCGGGGGAGCACCACAAGGGGUGAAGCCUGCGGUUCAAUUGGACUCAACGCCGGGAAACUUACCGGGGGCGACAGCAGAAUGAAGGUCAGGCUGAUGACCUUACCAGACAAGCUGAGCGGAGGUGCAUGGCCGUCGCCAGUUCGUGCCGUGAGGUAUCCUGUUAAGUCAGGCAACGAACGUGACCCACAUGUUUAGUUGCUAUCAAGAGCCUUCGGGUUUGUUGGGAACGCUAAACAGACUGCCAUCGUACAGGUGGAGGAAGGAGUGGGCUACGGCAGGUCAGUAUGCCCCUAAUCCCCCGGGCCACACGCGGGCUGCAAUGGGAUGGACAAUGGGUUGCGACUCCGAAAGGGGAAGCCAAUCUCGAAACCAUCUCUCAGUUGGGAUUGCCGGCUGUAA
rnacentral:rRNA from 1 species